GACUGAAAGGUCACGGCAAUGGCUCUGCUCCCGCACUGUGGUUUAUUUUCUUAUUCUUUCAGUGACCCCAAAGUCAGGAUUUGGUUGGGACUCGGGAGAGCCGAGAGAACGCUGAAGGAUGAAGAUGGAGAAAAACUUGCAAGUGGAGGAGAGCAGCUCUUCCUAGCAGCGUGCAACCGUUUUUCAAAAUGCAUCUGGUGAGCAAGGUAAAAAUACAAAGCCAGCUCUCAAUGUAUUUUUGCUUCCCACCGUUUCCUCCUGGAGCUGGCUGAGGCAGCUUCGGGCUUCCCCAGCUUUUUGGCAGAUGGCUCAGAGACUGACCCUCUCCCCACAUAUGAACUGCUGUGGAGCUUCUCCCGAGGAUCUCCGGGGGCCCCGCACCACUCACAGCCUGAAAUAGCCUCUUUCCAUUUCAGUAUUCUCUUUUUCCCACAUCCGAUCUCACUGGGGAUAAUGGAGUCAGGAAUGGGCAUGGGACCCUUAAAAACUUUUGUAAGAAUCAUGGAGACAUGGUCCUACUUAAAUGCCUCCCUAGCUGUGAUGGUCACUAAAAGUUUGACAGCAUGUCCCGGCUGCUUCCUUUAAUCUCAUCCUCUGCCUGUCUGUAUGUCUGUCCGUCUCCAUCUGUCUCUCCAGUCGUCUACAAGGACUCGGAGCUCUUGGAAGCAGAAGGUGCCUUUUUGUUCCAUGUUUGUGCUGUGCCCGGUAUAGGGGGGUCCUCAUGCAUGACUGCAGUUCAAAAUACUGUGCAAAAUAAUGAAUCAUCAGUUAAAUAAUGUUGAGCCAAGUUCAUGACAGUGAGACAAGACUUAUUCUGUGACAAGUGUCUCCCUCUGGAAUAGUUUCAUCAGACUCAGCUGUGUGCAGAAAAUGGGCUGAAGACUUUAACAAAGGUAAUAUUCAUAUUUCAUGAUGACAUGGUCCCACAAUGUAUUUCAGCAUAGCUUUACACAAGAACAGCAAAGUUGGUUCUUGCUAAAACAGAAACAGACUUUGAUUAGAAUCUGUUUCUUGAAGAUCAACAAAUUGCUUCACAACUUUCAGGGAAAAAAGCUUAAAGGACAUUCCUGAAAAGAUUUUUUUUUUUUUUUUUAAGAAAAUAUCGUCAGGAAAUCAGGAAAUCCCAACAGACCAACAAGCUCAAUUUUUUUUAAUGUUAGCCAUCAGGAAAAUCUGCUUUUGAUUUGGAAACUGAAGGGACUAAACUGCAGUAGAGAAGGUUUCAGAGCCUCAUUCAGUAGUUUUUACAUAUAAAAGUAAGAACUAAGGAGGAAAACAAAGAAGUGAGGCUGUUGUUGACUUCAGACAAGGCUGGGGCAGUUCUGGAGGCAUUUUGUGGAAUCCAUGUAUGGAGGCCUUGGUACGAACCUCAUAGGCUUCUGUUGAGAAACAGUGCUUCAGGACAUAGGCAAAGAUAUGGGGGUCAUGUGAAGAAGAACAGAGGUGCUGCAAGUGAUGGGAGGGACAUUCAGCCCAUCCAAGGUGGUCUCACAGAAUGACAGAACGGCAGGGGUUGGAAGGGACCUCUGGAGACCCUCUUGUCCAACCCCCCUCCUUGAGCAGGCACACCCAGAACAGGGGCACAGGAACGUGUCCAGGCAGGGUUUGAAUGUCUCCAGGGAAGGGACUCCACAGCCUCUCUGGGCAGUCUGUGCCGCUGCUCUGGCACCCGCACAGCAAAGAGAGAAGUCUCUUCAUGUCUUUCCAUGGUCUCUCCAAGUGGUACAACUGGCAUCAGAGCCUGGUGGCUUCAGCAACGUGAAUCUCAUGUUAGGUGUGAGCAGCAACCGACAGGUAUGUUACUGCUCCAGCACUGCUGCUGAGGACAUAGAGCCCUGCGAAGCUGAGGAGAUGUUUGUAACCAUAGAUUGGUUGGUUUUCUCCUGGGAAACAAAUUCUUAACCUGUGUGAAACGCAAUUGCUGUUUCUUCUGUGUAUACGUACGAGAUUGGUGUCUUCUGGGUAGAAGAGCCUCAUAUUUAAGCUUCAUCUCUAUUUACUGUGUGUUGCAAGGGAGUAAUGGUCAACUGUCCUCAAACCACUGUGGAAAUAUCUAAUCUAAGCUGUGAUUUGUUCUGCUAUUCCUCACAUUUCAGUUAGACACCACGUGGCAGCUGGGAAGGAGGAUGGGGUGAGAAAGGGAGGGACACAGGCAGCUCACAUGCAAAAUAUGGAUGUGUCUUUCCUUAAUGCUACCAUUAAUGGUCUAAAUUAAACUGCUCUUAUUUGGCGAGAGUGUUUGAAUCAGUGAGUCAUCUCAGAAAACACAACAGCAUUUGCUGGCAUAUGCUGGCUCUGGGUGAUGCUCUCCAACACACUUUUUGGUGGUGAUUACCGGCGUGUGGAAGCAAGUAAUUAAUGUUCUUUGGAAUCUCUCUAUCAUCCUGCAGAGUGGUCGUGUCAGUGUUUUGAGGAUACAGUGGGAGUCCAUGGAGCUGACUUCAGAGCUGAAUGAGCUGAAAGGAGGUCUUGGCCAUAACUCUGGAGCAGACGCAGUAGGGAUCCACUGGCUGAUCUGAGACGUUCUUCAGUGCAGCAUGAAUACUCUUGUGCUGUGAACUGAGCGUGGCUCUGACGAGUGCUAUAGCCAAAACCACCUAAUCAGAGGAGCAACAAUAGAGCCAAUUACCGCUGAGGCUGUGCUUUCAGCCACUCAUGCAUGUGCCACGGUCAUUCAUUCACUUCCUCCGUUUAGAUAGUCUUGUAGACUUUGAGACAGGCAUGUGUUUUCUCAGGCAGGAGCCCUUCCUUUUCUUCCACGCAUCUUUACAGAUAUUCGAACCAAAGGUUUCUCCCUCUGGGCUGUGUCAUUUUCUUUGCUGUUUCUGUGGCGAGGCAGGUGAUUUAAGCCUUUUGAUAAAACAUAGCUCUGCUCUGUCUCUCUCUUUGCCUUUAAAGUAUUGACAGCGUUGAGUGUUGGUCCAGGUAUCAAACAAGAGAGCACAGUGCUUGGAGUCUGGCUCCCUUUCUGAUGGUUGUAGGUGAUCUGAAACCUCAGCCCAGCUGUCUUUCAUUUAUAUAUCUGCAAUGAUUCCUUUGUAGUCCAGGGUACAAAAUAUCAAACCCAGAUUUCUUUUCCCCUGCCCACACCUCUUAAAACUGGGCAACCUACAAAGAUGAAUAUUUGGCUGUGUUAGUGUCCCCACAGUAAGAGAUGUUUUCAUUACCUUCUUCUCUCCAUACUUCUCUAAUCUGAGUAAUUCUUCUUAUAGUUUGACAUUUGGUCCAUCAUAUUUAAGUAUUUUUACACCAAUGUCUGGGCUGGGAGAUUCCUAUUAAAAAAAAAAACAACCCAAUCCAACAUAUUCCCUGGCCAAAGUUCCCUGUAGUUCUUUAUGUAUCUUUCUUUUGAAGAGUAAUCAACACCAUGAAGAAAGAGGAUCUGUCUUUGAGGAUCAGCCAGGAAUACACUGCUGUCUCAAAGAGUUUGCAAAGAUUCACUUUAUGCACAGCAGUAAAAAGACUUUCUGUAAUACCAUUUAGAAUUUUAAUGGAAAAGUGAGUAGAAGGACCAAAGAGCAGGUGUGAAUGAAGAUCUUUGCCUACACCUUCAUUGUAUCUUUCUGCCCUUUCUUGGCCCCUUUGGCCUUUACCCUUUCCCACUGUCCAGCUUCCCCAUCCUGCCCUUACUGUGCCCACUUGCUCUCCUCUCCCUCUGCCCUAAUCUCUGACAAAUGUCACCAAUUUAAAUGUUAUUUUCUUUGGGCGUGGACCACUGUCUGGUUAGCCUGUGUCCUCCUAUCCAAACCCCCAUCUCAGCCUGGCUCUCUAACAUCUGGGGCCAUCUGGCCCUCAUCUCAGACCCAUUGUGGCUGAAGAGGAACUGUUACUCUCAUUCCAAGUUUCCCUUUCUCCCUUUUACAAUCACUGGCACUAUCACCCCCUCUUAUCCAUCACUUGAGCUUACAACCUGGAUGUCAUCCUCACUCUAGACUUUCCUCUUUAUUCUCAAGGUUGUGUAGACACUUCCUCCACAGCUUCUCCCAGACAUGGCCUUUCCUAUCAUUUACACAAUGAAGAUGCUGUGCAGGCUCUUUCCUCUCACAUUUUGAGUCCUGCAGCAUCUUCUUCUGGGCAGAUCCAGCCUUUGCCCACCAUUGUCCACCCAACCUGUUGCUACACACUGUUUUUCUAGCCCAUCACUGCUGAUCACGUUCCCCACCCACCUUUCCCCUGGUCUCCCUUGGCUACCCGCAUCAAUCCCUUGCUUCAUGCCAGGUUCUUACAAAUGAGCUCUGAGGCAAGGACCUCUUCAGCUCUGCGUUUCCACAGGAUCUGGUUCUUGAGCCAUGACUGCAGAUCCAAGAAUAAGAAUAGCAACAACGUGCAAGCUGAUUCCAGCCCAAGUCAGUGGAGGCCAGAAGUUGCUGUGCCCAGAAGUGUGUUCAUAAAUCAAUGUGAAAUGCGCUGUCUGAGCGUAGCUCCCAGUAGACACACAUCUGCAUAACACAUACCACUGACACCACUGGCGAUGGGAAAAAUAUCUAAAAAUAUCAUUCCCACAGCUGUGGAGGAAUAAUAAAGAUGUCUAAUUCCCCUGUUCCUGGGGUGAACCCUGGUCCAGGUAAAUGCACGUCUUAUAAAUCAGAGGUUUUAAAGGCAGGGACACCAUUAGGAAAGUCUAGUCUGACUACACUGGCUAGAAGAUGUCACCCAGGAACUCCUGUGUCAAGAUCAUAACUGAAUUUAAAAGAAGAAAGCAGAAGAAAGACAUCCAACCCUCACUUUAAAAUCUGAGAUGGCAGAGAAGCAACAUCAUCCUUUGGUGAGUUAUUCCAAUGCUAAAAUCUUGUGCUUUUUCCCAUUCUAGGUUUGCCUAGCUUCAGCUUCCAGCCGUGGGAUCAUGUUGUGCUGUUGUCCGCUGCCCAGAAAACCCCCUCUUAUUAGAAAUCCUCACCCAGUUUUGGCAUUUAUAAUCCACUAAUCAAACACUCCCUUAAAUAAACUGAAUACAGUUUCUUUUACUCAGUGGCAGGAUGACCAGAUUAUCAGUCAUUAUUGUAGCUUGAUUGCCUCAGAUUUUCAACAUCCUUUUCUCCUGCAGAGACCAGAGGUGAACAUUGGGUUGUAGAGACUGGUUCCCAAAAAGGCAGGAAGAGGGUAGCACCACCACUCCUAUUUGGUUUUCUGCUCCUUCGUCCAAGAACCACCAUUAUUCUGCUAGGCAGCAUUUCACAACUCUGCAGCAAUUUCCAUUGGUCACUCCUGAUGAAAAAUUGUAUUAGCAAAGUUUGCAUUUCAAACCUAGCUCAUUCAAGUGAAGGCAAUUCUGGCCUGAUUUUGGUCCAGAGCAAUCGUCCCUCCUGCAUCCAGUCACUCACACUGGGACUCUUCAGCUACAGGAUCACAGGGGAGUGGUGAAGAAAGUGAUGAUGUACAUGUCUGAGUUCUAAUGCAGCAGUGAUGUUGUAGGGCUUUGGCAUCUUGUCUGGAAAUAAAAAGAUGGAGAUGUGAAAUGUUUUGCCUUUGCUUUAAUAGCUCAAGUCUUCUGGAUUUGUAUCCUGUCCCUCCUGUGUUUUCAAAGAAUUGAAUCUGUUUGAUUUUUUUAAUCACAGCUGGAGGUAACGUAUUUAAC